UUUAUCAUAUCAAAAAAUUGCUCUUACAAGUCUCUAUCGAUUGGUGCUUGUUGCGCGUCAAUGUGGCUUUCCUAUCUCGAGUUAUGAGCCUUCGUAUAUCGUUCUUCCAAGCAAGAAGUGGAGAAAUUGCUGUAAAACCAAUUUUUAAUGUUUCCGUUUACUUUUCGUAUUACAAAUGACAUCACACGACUGAUCACAUGACAAUACAAGUUUAAAAUAGAGAAAAAGUUGCUUGAUGGUGUUGCUACAUAAAACUCUUGUUCCAUCAUUGUUUAGGAUAAAGACAAAGACAUCAAGCCAACUAAGGAAGAGCCAGUUACCAUUCCAGUUAUGGUGUGUUCCCUCUUAGCCUCUGAGAACAAAGGACAUGGUGCCACAGACCUAGAAAAGCAAAGACAGAACAUUUAAAACAGUUUCUUAAAUUUAUAUUGAAAAGAUUAUAUUUAUCAUGAUAAUUAUUGUCAAGAUUUUUGCAGGUAAAGAAUGUUAUGAAUGAUCCCUCAACAUCA